rnacentral:rRNA from 1 species
CGAGCGGUAUUUAUUCUUCGGAAUAGAGAGAGCGGCGUACGGGUGCGUAACACGUGUGCAACCUACCUUUAUCAGGGGAAUAGCCUUUCGAAAGGAAGAUUAAUACUCCAUAAUAUAUUAGAUGGCAUCAUUUAAUAUUGAAAACUCCGGUGGAUAGAGAUGGGCACGCGCAAGAUUAGAUAGUUGGUGAGGUAACGGCUCACCAAGUCAAUGAUCUUUAGGGGUCCUGAGAGGGAGAUCCCCCACACUGGUACUGAGACACGGACCAGACUCCUACGGGAGGCAGCAGUGAGGAAUAUUGGACAAUGGGUGAGAGCCUGAUCCAGCCAUCCCGCGUGAAGGAUGACGGUCCUAUGGAUUGUAAACUUCUUUUGUAUAGGAAUAAACCUAGAUACGUGUAUUUGGCUGAAGGUACUAUACGAAUAAGCACCGGCUAACUCCGUGCCAGCAGCCGCGGUAAU